rnacentral:snRNA from 1 species
AGAUGGAGGGUGUUCUAGCUAUGACAUCAGUCACCAUACUGAUCAUCAGUGUUGGGUUGAUUCUGCUAAGCUGGCUGGCUAGGUGGGUGUCCCCUCCCUCCCUCAGCGCUCCCUGUGUACCCCUCCUGGAGCGCACACUCCAUCAAAGAAGAUGGCUUUCCUGGGAAGGGGAGGAGGAGGACCAGGCCUUGUCCAGUGCUAUACAAGGAGCUAUGCUUCCCUGCUGGAACCUCCAGUCAGCCGUCUAUAAAGUGUGUGGGUACAUGUCUGCUCAGGGCUCAUGAAAGGAGCUAUGAUCAUGGACAUUAGGUCAGAAAUAUGUGGUUUUGUCCUU